rnacentral:rRNA from 1 species
AUUGAACGCUGGCGGCAUGCCUUACACAUGCAAGUCGAACGGCAGCAUGGAGAGCUUGCUCUCUGAUGGCGAGUGGCGAACGGGUGAGUAAUGCAUCGGAACGUACCGUGUAAUGGGGGAUAACGUAGCGAAAGUUACGCUAAUACCGCAUACGACCUGAGGGUGAAAGCAGGGGAUCGAAAGACCUUGCGUUAUACGAGCGGCCGAUGUCAGAUUAGCUAGUUGGUGAGGUAAAGGCUCACCAAGGCGACGAUCUGUAGCUGGUCUGAGAGGAUGAUCCGCCACACUGGGACUGAGACACGGCCCAGACUCCUACGGGAGGCAGCAGUGGGGAAUUUUGGACAAUGGGGGCAACCCUGAUCCAGCCAUGCCGCGUGAGUGAAAAAGGCCUUCGGGUUGUAAAGCUCUUUCGGCCGGGAAGAAAUCGCACAGGCUAAUACUCUGUGUGGAUGACGGUACCGGCAUAAGAAGCACCGGCUAACUACGUGCCAGCCGCCGCCGUAA